UGCUGGGGGAGGACAGGAGUGUGACCGUGGGCUGGGCACUGUGGACUGUCCUCACCUUCAGGGGGUAGCUUCAGGAGCCUGCCCAGCCCUGGGGAAAGUCCCUGUUCUCCUGUAUGCCUCACUAGGGACACAGGCCAGGGUGCCUCUCUGCUGCCUUUGCCAACCGUGGGGUUCGUCUCCACAGUAAGUUUCCUGGCUACGGGGGCAGCAGAGAGGCAAGGACCCAUGACUCUUGUGCCGGGAUCUCUGGAGAUGGGACAUACGCUGCACUGCCAGGCUGGACCAGUGCCUCACCUCCAUCUUGGUCUGGAUCCAGGGCCCCACGACGUUGGCCUGGCUGGCGAACUGGCGGCGCAGGUGCUCGUUGGACUGCUGCUUGCUCUGCUCCUCCAGGAGGGCAUGGUCCCGCUUUGGCACCAGCUGCUGUACCUGGCGGAGGGGAUGUGGAGCAGGAGCGGUCAGGGAAGUGGCCCCUAGCCCCACUCGCCUGCCCCAGCCCCUUCUGACAGCCCCAGCCCACCUUCUCCCACUUGGAGUUGAUGAUCUGUGGGGUGACAGUGGUAUAGGGGUUGCUGCCUGACAGCUUGAUGUGGUUGCUCUCAGCGAUUCUCUGGGCCUCCUUGUGGAUGGCCAGGAUGGCCUCGCGCUCCCUGUCAGCGUCCGGCAGCGUGGACUUGAACUGGUCGUGGGCUGAGAUCAGGCCCUGGGGAAGGAGCUGGAAUGAGGGGGUGGCCCAGUCCCACAGAGGCCCUUGGGAAGGUGAGGUGCCAGGGGGCGCGGACCUCAAUCUCCUCGAUGGUGUGGACGAUGAACAUGUCCUGGAGGUCCUCCAUGGCACUCUCCAUCCAGUUGUUGAAGGGGGCUGCGCGCUUGGCGUACUCCAGGUGCAGCUGGUCAAUGGCCUCCAGCUGCUUCUCUGUUUUCUGGUGUGUGGGGAAGGGAGCAGGGACAGAAGAAAAGCAGGUGAAUAUGUGAGUAGGAAUGGCGGGGAGGAGCCCAGAGGGCACUGAGAGGUCAGAGAAUGUCCUCUCUGUGGGAGUUGGGGGAGCUCACAGGUUUGGGCACUGACCACACCACCAGCCCCAGGACAUCGGGGGCACAGGGCUCCGUGGGUGACGUCACCCCCCUCCUUACCUCCAGGGCUUCCCUGCGACUGUGGGUCAGAGAGCCGAGGGCAUCCCACUGGUCACAGAUCUUCUGGCACCGUGUGUUGACAUUGUGGGAGUCGUAGUAAUCCAGCUCGCUGCGGGCCGGGCAGACAGCAAUGAGACCUGGCAGGGGCAGAUGGCGGGCAGCUGGGCCCCACCUACCACCAGAGCUCCCAGGAUGAGGUGUUGGGACAGUCAACAUUCCAGGACAUCCACAACAAUCACUAAUCAAUCACUGCUCAGUUCUGGCCCCUGGGACCCCCAGGGGUGCUAACAGGGGCCUCCUCCAGCUCACCCACCCCUGACUCAUUCUGCCACUAACAGCUAAGAGUAUGGCCCUUCCAACCAGGCCUGGGGGCCUGAAGAGGAGUAGAGGGCAGGGAACGACCUUGGGAGGAACAGGACAUGGGAACCAGGCGAGCCAGCCACAGAAGAGCAGGCAGGGGCUGAGGCCAUGCUCCACAGUAGGGCUGGAGGACUGGGCUGCAUUCCUGUCUCAACCACUCCCUUGCUGUGUGACCCUUGCAAACCCCUUGGCCUCUCUGCCUUGGUUCCCUGAGUAAUACGCUGCUGGGGGGAUUAAAUGAGCUGAUACACAUAA